rnacentral:piRNA from 1 species
UACAUUGAAGGUGCAGAUAUUGAAGGU